CCGACUAUGAAUAACUUACAAUGAUUCGAUUCUGAAAACUCUUUGACUGAUGAUUCUUUUGCCUGCAGGAUUAUCCACAAGAGCUAGGUUCUUAUAUCUACCGAGACUAGAACAAUAAUUAUUAUGUACUUUUAUAGGAUUUUAAGAAAAAAUAUUUUUCGUCAAACUCAUUAAAAUACAACAAAUAGGUUUAAUCUAUAUUCGUAGGCUUUACAAAGUUCAUGUCUUCUUAAAAUAUUUAAAUUUUUCUUAAACUAGGUAGUUAGGUACCUACUAUAUCUAUCAUAUCUAUUCACUCACAUUCGAUUUUCAAAUAAUAUUUCCAGUUUUUUACAUGUAGGUUUUUUUAUCUAUGACUUAUGAGACAAAAAUAACGAUAAGCCAACUCAUAAAUAGACAGCUAAAAUAUACACCAAAAUAGCGACUAGCAUUGACUUUCGUGUAGGUAGAUAGUUACCUAUUUGAUAUUUAAGUGCAUUAAAUCUUUUUUUUUUUCUGUAUAACUAUAGAAGUCUAUAUCUAAGCAUACCAUAAAGCUAUGGUAACGGGGCGCAAUUUUUUAAAGUAAUCUAUAACUUAUAUCUAAUCAAUACCUUAA